CCUACUUUGCUACUGCUAUAGACGAGGGGCAAUUUCUCCAUGGACAAGCUGUAUAGGAACCGUUCCCUUGCACCAAUCAUAUUGUCGGUGCUUCUUGUCACGUGCUUCACUACGACCCAUGUGCAGUCUAGAAUAUUGGAAGAGGUGGAAAGGGUUAAGAUCCAUCUAAAUGGUAUGUGCCUCCUUAAUACGUGCACAAACGACCCACGGAUUUGCUACUACUGCUGUUUAGUAAAGGAUAAGUGCUACCACUCAGUUGAUGAGUGCAAGGCUGACUGUCCCAAGAUUUCUCCCCUGGACCCAGCCCCGGCGACGAUCCUUGCACCAUCGACUCCUAUCUAAUCUAAUUAUAUAGCUUCUCAAGUAUAAUGCAUGAUGUACCGAUGAAUAAUUUGGAUGAAAAUAAAUGCCAUGAUGUUCGUGUUUCA